AUUGAACGCUGGCGGCAUGCCUUACACAUGCAAGUCGAACGGCAGCACGGGGCAACCUGGUGACGAGUGGCGAACGGGUGAGUAAUGCAUCGGAACGUGCCAUUGAGUGGGGGAUAACGUAGCGAAAGUUGCGCUAAUACCGCAUAUUCUGUGAGCAGGAAAGCAGGGGACCGCAAGGCCUUGCGCUCUUUGAGCGGCCGAUGUCAGAUUAGCUAGUUGGUGAGGUAACGGCUUACCAAGGCGACGAUCUGUAGCGGGUCUGAGAGGAUGAUCCGCCACACUGGAACUGAGACACGGUCCAGACUCCUACGGGAGGCAGCAGUGGGAAUUUUGGACAAUGGGCGCAAGCCUGAUCCAGCCAUGCCGCGUGAGUGAAGAAGGCCUCGGGUUGU
rnacentral:rRNA from 1 species